GAACCUUCCAGAACAGCCACACCCUCCUUGCUGCCUGUCACGAUCUCAUUAUUCUCCAAUGACCCAUUCGCCAUCCCAGUAACGGCAGAAGCCAAAAUCGCAUGAACACCAGGCAAUUUGCAGACCACAGCUUUGCCGUCUUUAUCAUCCAUCUCUCCUGGGGCAAAGCUGAGCUGGACUCCGAGGUUGGAAGGCGCUCAGCGAGGAGGAGAGAAUGGGAAGAAGACAGGCUGGCCUCGCAGGAGGCGCCUUGCCGGACUGAGAUUACGGGUACCUGUGAUCCAUCUACUGGGCUUGCUGACGCUUCUCUACAACAGUCUUGCUGCUCAGGUCUGAUGUUUAUUUUCAAACAACAGGAUGAUGCCAGCUUGCUAGUUCGUUUCUGUCCUGCUGAAUGGUUGAAUGGUUUUCCAUACCUCGCACCAAAUUUUGGCAAAUUGAAUAUGGUUGACUAGAACGAUAUACCUCUGAAUAUUAAAAGUAACUCUGAAGUUGUGGCUCCUUGUUUUUCAUAACUGAGACAGUGUUGGGAAGUUAGGACAACACACCCUGGAGGCAAACUGCCCAGAUGACCACUCAGGGCUGCGUGGCCGGGGCCUCUCCUCAGCCCACUGUGCCUUGGUUUCCUCAUCAGUAAGAAGAACAGAGG
rnacentral:lncRNA from 1 species